AAGCGGUGGAGCAUGUGGUUCAAUUCGAAGCAACGCGCAGAACCUUACCUGGGCUUGACAUGCCAGGAUUAUCCCUAUGAAAGUAGGGUACGCCCUUCGGGGUGGAACUGGUACAGGUGCUGCAUGGCUGUCGUCAGCUCGUGUCGUGAGAUGUCGGGUUAAGUCCCUUAACGAGCGAAACCUUUGCCCUUAGUUACUAACGGGUUAUGCCGAGGACUCUAAGGGGACUGCCGGUGUCAAACCGGAGGAAGGUGGAGAUG
rnacentral:rRNA from 1 species